UACGUAGGUGGCAAGCGUUGUCCGGAUUUAUUGGGUUUAAAGGGUGCGUAGGCGGUUUCUUAAGUCAGUGGUGAAAUACGGCAGCUUAACUGUCGAGGUGCCAUUGAUACUGGGGAACUUGAGUACUGAUGAGGUAGGCGGAAUGGACGGUGUAGCGGUGAAAUGCUUAGAUAUCGUCCAGAACACCGAUAGCGAAGGCAGCUUACUAAAGAGUAACUGACGCUGAGGCACGAAAGUGUGGGGAUCAAACAGG
rnacentral:rRNA from 1 species